rnacentral:rRNA from 1 species
CAUAGUUUAUUAGAUCUUACUCUACAUGGAUACCUGUGGUAACCUAAGAGCUAAUACAUGCAAUUGAGUCCCGACCGCAAGGGAAGGACGCAUUUAUUAGAACAAAACCAAUCGGGCUUGCCCGUUGUUUGGUGAAUCUGAAUAACUAUGCUGAUCGCACGGUCUAUGAACUGGCGACAUUUCUUUCAAAUGUCUGGCUUAUCAACUUUCGACGGUAGUUUACACGACUACCGUGGUGGUCACGGGUGACGGAGAAUUAGGGUUCGACUCCGGAGAGGGAGCCUGAGAAACGGCUACCACA